GCGGGGCUACCCGCUGAGUUUAAGCAUAUC
rnacentral:rRNA from 1 species